rnacentral:misc_RNA from 1 species
AUUUUGUUCUGCAACUUUGUCAUGUUACCUAUCUGAUAAAUCCCAGCCUUACUAGUGGCAUAUAGGAUUUUUAAUUUAUGCAUUUUAAAUUUUACCAUAUGGUAAUUAAGGAGUUGCUGAAUCAUGGUGCUAUAACAAUAUGUUCUUGUGUUCUUUUCUUGAAAAGGAUUUUUAUGUAUUUAAUCUUUUUUUUUUCUAGCCG